AGUCACUGACAUUAGAUACCCCGGUAGUCCCAGCCCUAAACGAUGCGCGUUAGGUGUAUCGGUGACCACGAGUCACCGAGGUGCCGAAGGGAAACCGUGAAACGUGCCGCCUGGGAAGUACGGUCGCAAGGCUGAAACUUAAAGGAAUUGGCGGGGGAGCACCACAACGGGUGGAGCUUGCGGUUUAAUUGGAUUCAACGCCGGAAAUCUUACCGGGACCGACAGCAACAUGAAGGCCAGGCUGAAGACUUUGCCGGAUUAGCUG
rnacentral:rRNA from 1 species